GCUGAAGACAGGCCAGGGUGCUCAGACAUCACCUGGGGGACCGCGGAGGAUGAGGAAACUAAUCAGAUAUCGAGGGUGAUCAGAAAUCGAAGAUGGGUGGUUGCUACUAAACAGACUUAGCAGAGUUCAUGCCAAAACUGAAUUUUUCUUUCUUUCUUUUCUUUUUUUUUUUUGAGACAGAGUCUCACUCUGUCCCCCAGGCUAGAGCGCAGUUGCGCCAUCUCCGCUCACUGCAACCUCCGCCUUCCAGGUUCAAGCGAUUCUUCUGCCUCAGACUCCCGAGUAGCUGGGAUUAUAGGCACCCGCCAUCGUGCCCGGCUAAUUUUUGUAUUUUUUAGUAGAGUUGGAUUUCACCAUCUUGGCCAGGCUGGUCUUGAACUCCUGACCUCAUGAUCCACCUGCCUCCACCUCCCAAAGUGCUGGGAUUACAGACGUGAGCCACCUCGCCUGGCCCAAAACUGAAUUUUUAUAAGGAACCUCACUGAUGGGCUUAGGAGAAGAUUCAGAAAUCCGAUUAAUGUUUGGUCAAUCAAAGCAUCUUUAUAGGCAGUAACAUUAUUCCCAGGCACCUCCAGGUUGUUAGUUUUCCUCCUUAUAAACGGACAUAACAGUAGCCAACUCACAGAUGUACCAUGAAGAAUACAUGAGACCCCCCCUACAAUGACACUAAUGGAAUUCCCAGCAUACUCGGCUCCAUGAAAGCAGGACCCUUGGGAGUCCUGUUCACAGUAGCAUCCCCAGCGCCUAGAGGGAGCCUGCUGCACUGUAGAAGCCCAGCAUAUCUUGGAUGAGUAGAUGAUGUCGUAUCAGCAACCCUGGGUCUGAAUUGCCAACUCCCACUGGGUAGACUCUACAUGCAGUAACAACAUCAACAUAUUAACUAAUUUCUGCAGUCCAUAGAAGGUGCCGGGCACCAAGGUUUCCCAAGCGUGCUCUUUUUAAUUUUCAUCACAGCCCCCUAGAGGUUUUAUACUAUCAUUAUUCCCUUUUUACAGAUGAGGAAACUGAGGCAAAAGACAUGAGGUGACCUGCCUGAGGCCACCAGCUUAUGGAUUCUGAACCCAGGUCUGUCUGAACUUUAAGCCCAGGCCUCUUUUCUCUGCCACACACCCCAGCAAGAAUGAAUAAAUAAACAAAAUAAAACAAACAGCCUGCACUGGGUCCCUCCCUAAAUGAGCCUAUGCCCUCACAAUCCUGGGAAAGUAACACUUACUUAUUGGAGCUCUGGCUUUCUUCUAUUAUUUUCUCCAAAAUUCUUUCCAGGAAUUGCCUUCCCUGACCACCUCUGCAAAUAAUAAUGAUAGCAGUAGUAAUAAUAAUAAUAAGUGCAUAUUUAACAUUUAGUACCAAUUGUAAGUGCUUUGCAUAUAUCAAAUUAUUUAAUUCUCACCUGAAUUGCUCUAAGGUAGGUAUUAUUAUCCCCAUUCACAGAUGACAACAUCAAGGCACAGAAUGGUUAAAUAACUUGCCCAAGGUCACACAGUUACUAAGUGGCAAGUAGCUGUGUCUAGGCAAUCCGGCUCCAGGGUCUGUUCUUAACCACUAUGUGAUUCUGUUGUUGUGAAUAACAACAACAAAAUGACAGUAAUGAUACCCAUCAUUAUUUGAGAACUAUCACAUCCCAAGCUCUGCUAAAUGCCCUAUAUGUUGUGCCUCUUUUAAUCGUCAUAACAAUCCUUGGAGGUAGAAGUCCUAUUGUUAACCACAUUUUACGGUUGAACAACCUAAGGCCCAGGGUCAGAUCCGGGAUUACUGGCUGCAAAGCCUGUACCUUCAGCAGCCCAGGGAGCCUGUGCCACCUGACCCCUGGUGUAUGCCCAGCCAGAGCACUGGCCUUCCAAACCCAGAUCUACCGGCAGAACACAGCUGAACUUCAGGUCACUGGACCACCUCUUCCCCCACCUUCUUGCUGGGCUUCUCUCUCUGAAACCUUCUUCAGCCCUUCCAAACUUUCUCAGCAGAACAAAUGACACCAGGAACACGCUGACAUUUGGGAGAGUGACGACUGCCUGGAAGGAGCUAUCACACAUCGAGCAGAGGAUCCUUACAUGUUAUUAAUGUGAAAGCCACUUGGAGCUAGGGCAGGGGUGGGGGCCCCGCAAGCUCAAUGGGAGCUCCUCUCUGCUGCAGGUGCCGCCAACAGAAGGGAGUCAGGGCUCAGCUAUGGGACGGAGAGGAUCAUCCUGCCCUCUCUCCACCCAUCCUCAAGGAGGGACAUCCCCAGCCGGGCUCUCAGGGGCUCUAUUUCUUAUACCUGAGCCUAAAUCAAGGCCUCUGGGAUCUUUCAUGGUCCAAAUACUUAUUCCAGGUUCAGGGAACCAAUAUCUCAACUAACCAGAAUUUUCAGGAAGUGACCGGGCUGCUAUUUCCCACUUAAGAAAGACAGUAAAACAUAGUGGGUAGGAACUCGACCAGAUAUGGAUUUGAAUCCCAUUAGCUCUGCUGCUCUGGGCAAGGAACUUAGUCUCUCUGAACCUCUGUCUUGUCAUCUGUAAAAUGGAGAUGAUCUCAAGACCCAUCUCCUUGAGUAAUUGUCAGCAUAGAUUAUCAGGGAAAAUGGUCUGGGAGGUGAGCGUGCCCUUGAUCACAUUGGACCUUGCAGACUCUAUUAAGAGGUUAGACUUUGUCCCGAGCACACUGAAGAACCAUUGAACUGUUUGGAGGAGGAGAGUGCUGUGAUGAGAACUGAGUUCCAGGAAAAUCAUCGUCUGCUUUUGGAGAAGAUCUUUUGGGGGCUUUAGGGAGACCAGUUAGGAGGCUGUUGUAGUGGUCCCAGUGAAAUGGCAACCUUGGCUGGGUUGUUGGCUGAGGAGCGGUAAAGCGUGGAUAAAAUCAUGAUCUAUUAAAGAAGCAGGAGCAUUUUGAGUGCUGAUUGCGAUGAGAGGGGGAGAGAAGUUUGGAUCAAAUGAAUGUCUCGGUUUUCAGACCUUUCAACGGGGUGAAUGGUGGUGCCACUCAGUGAACAUGUGAGGAGGAGCAGAUGCGGGGAGUGGGAGACACAGUCUGUUCAUUUACUCACGGAUUCAUUCAUUCCAUAAUUGUUACGUUCUCACUUGGAAAGCACUAGCCGAGGGGCUAGAGAUGAAGCAGUAAAUGAGGCAAAAGUCCCUGCUUUCAUGUGUAUCAAUAAACGGAUUGUAAAAGGAAAAUAAAUCUCGGGUCCCCCAAAUCACUAAGCUAAAGGGAAAAGUCAAGCUGUGAACAGCUGAGGGCAAACCUGCCUUCCAUUCUAUUCGAAGUCACCCCUCUGCUCACUGACUGAGAUAUAUACAUAUCUGAUUGCCUUCUUUGGAGAGGCUAAUCAGAAACUGGAAGGAAUGCAACCAUUUGUCUCUUAUCUACCUAUGACCUGGAAGCCCUUGCCCUGCUUUGAGUUGUCCCGCCUUGUCC
rnacentral:lncRNA from 1 species